rnacentral:misc_RNA from 1 species
GAUGAAGAACGUAGUGAAAUGCGAUAAGUAAUGUGAAUUGCAGAAUUCAGUGAAUCAUCGAAUCUUUGAACGCACAUUGCGCCCGCCAGUAUUCUGGCGGGCAUGCCUGUUCGGGCGUCAUUACAACCCUCAGGCCCCCGGGCCUGGCGUUGGGGAUCGGCGGAGCCCCCCGUGGGCACACGCCGUCCCCCAAAUACAGUGGCGGUCCCGCCGCAGCUUCCAUCGCGUAGUAGCUAACACCUCGCGACUGGAGAGCGGCGCGGCCACGCCGUAAAACACCCAACUCUUCUGAAGUUGACCUCGAAUCAGGUAGGAAUACCCGCUGAACUUAAGCAUAUCAAUAAGCGGAGGA